UUUGCAGGCCUAAGCAGCUCUGUGAGUCUAAUGGAAAACAUUUACACACCUGUGGCUUUAAAACAUCUACUUCUAUAACAGACAACAAUAACAGUCUUGUUUUCAUUUAUCUCCUAUUAUGCAUCUGAGUUUCUCAUCUCAUUUAACAUCCAAUUUGUGUAGUUACGACACAUUUAAGCAGCUCGACAGCAUAAAUUGCAGCAGUAACCUAUACAUUCCUGUGAUUACUCUUGUGUGUGUGUUUGUGUAGGUGCAGGUUACGAGUUUUGCAGAGACAGAGGAGAGUGAAUGGAGAGUAAUGGAUGGUUUGCUGUGAGUGAGUGUCUCGGGCUCACCAAAUACAAUUUUUCUCUUCAAACAAUCACUCCGUGUCUCUGAGGAGACCCGGGCGCAGUAAUUGAUAUGAUUAGCCAUGAUUCGUCUGUGGGAUGAAACAGAGAAUCGCAAUUUCUGCCUGUGGUCAUUACAAGCUGUUGGAGUAAAAAACGUUUCCUGAAAAUCCCAGCCAUCUGCCAUUGGUUUCACGCUGAUCCUACCGUAAACAGUUGCCUUUGGUGAUCGGCUU